rnacentral:lncRNA from 12 species
GUCUACUUUCAGCUCAGGGUGUAAUUCCAGGAUCCCGGAAUCAAGUCCUGGAUUGGACUCCCUGCAGGGAGCCUGCUUCUCUCUCUGCCUGUGUCUCUGCCUCUCUCUCUCUCUCUCUCUGCAUCUCAUAAAUAAAUAAAUAAAUAAAUAAAUAAAUAAAUAAAUAAAUAAAUAAAUAAAUUCUAGUACCUAAUACCUAAUAGGAUGCUGUCCCUGGACAUGGUGACACAAUACCAGCCCAUUCCCACUUGUUAGAGUUGUCAGCCCCAACACUAUCUCUGCUUUAUGGAGCUGCUGUUAGGGGUCCUCACUAAGCAGACUCUUAGAGCUACCACUACUCCUGUCCCACAAAGAGGCUUAAUUAAGCUCCCAGCUGGGCAUAAGCAAGAUAUCCUGAAGCAGAGAAUGGGUAUAUUCCAGGCUGACUGGUCCAAGUUUAUGUGCUUAGAAACCCUGAGGCUCUGGAAAUAAUACAAGUCUGUUAGAAGACUCUAAGAGUACCAAAAUCAUGCCCCUGCCAAGGUGGAACUGUUACUUCCUUGAUUCAUCCCUAGAUUGUAUUUCAGAUGUCAAAUCUUGGAAGAACCCUGGCUUUCAAGACCAGCCCAUUAGUCUUCAACUUCUUCCUCCAAUCUAUUGAGGGCUCUCCUUUCCCAAUUUACAUGAAUUCUGAAGAUGCCACUAAUCCAGGGAUGCCUCAGAGCAUGAAGAUUGAGAAGGAAGCCAUCUGAAUGACUCAUUGCAAGCUCUUCCCACCAUUCUUGGAGCCUCAGGCUCAGAGCAUUGGUGUUCAUUUUCCUUUUCUUCUCUUCCAUACUGAACAAGCCUCAUGUGGAACUCCCAUCCUCUCUGUCUCCCAUGAAUCUCAGAGACAAUGAGCAGAGGUCUUCAAAGUGGGAGUAAGGAUUCAGGGCACACACAGUCUAGAAAGAAUGGAGGGAUAAACAAAAUAAUAUGCAUAUAUUUAUUGGAACAUACAACUAGGCAAGGUUCUAUCCUACACCCUCAAGAUUCAGAGACAUAUAAUCUUGUGAAGAAGACAAUCAUGGAACCAACCAACCAGAAGACAAUGGGGCUGGAUUCCUACUCAAACUGGCUAUGGCAAUUUCAGGUUGCAUAUUCACAACCUACAACCCUCAGAGGCAGAACUGGCUCCUGAGUUCCAGAAGCCUAAGCAAGAGUUCCAACACUAACACUAAUCACACUAGCCUAGGUCACAGCUCCAGCCCUGAAUCAAAUGUCAGCCAAAUAUAAUACCAGACUCCUGGAGACAGGAGGAGAGUCAGCUUUUCCCAAACUACAUGGAUCCCCUCAUGGAAAUCAAGAUAUUUCAAAGGAAAAUGAGAAAAUUGAUACUCCAGAGCAACCAAUAGAUGGGUACUAUAUGUAGUAUAACCCCAUUCAGUGUUUAAUGAAGAGUGCAUACAUCGAUUUUGCACGUUGUAAAAGCGAAUUAACCUGAUUUUUAAAAAAUAUCUUCUGAAAAUCCUCACAUGGUUUUCUCUGUUUCAUUCUGUUUUGCCUCAACCUCUGAGAUGAAAUAUGGCCAGUAGGGAUAUACUGGAUAUCAUUUACCAGUUUGGUGAGGAAGAACUGAACUUCCUUUGUGUUUGCUUGUUUUCUUUCCAUUCUUUUUUUUUUUUUAACUUCUUAGAAACUUAAGUAAUGAAAUCACAGUGAAAGUCAUUGCUUUAUUCUCUACCUUUUGUGUCUGAUUACAAUACUGUUAUCUUUCCCUCUGAGAAAUAGAUAUUUGCUUUAUCUUGUAUAAAACUAGCCUGACUUCCUAGACAAAGUGCAAACGUAUAAUAACCAUUUUGUUAGAGACUGGCUUACAAGACACUAGUACUUUAUGAAGAAAUGAAAAUUGGCCCCAGAAAGAAAUCCAACUAGAGCAUCACUGUCCACAGUAGAAGCUAAGCCCAUUCUGUGGUCUGUUCUUGCUCUGAAGCCACUUCUCAGCCUUGCACAUGAGUACAGGCAUUACAGGAGAAUCUCAUAGCUUCUAUUUUGGAGACUCAUUUUAUAUGUCAAACCACUAGCUGUCUCUUUUACUUAACCCAAGGUUGCUUGACAUUCAAUAAAUAUUAAAUGUGGCAAUAAUAAUGAUGAUAA